UGGGGAAUUUUGCGCAAUGGGCGAAAGCCUGACGCAGCAACGCCGCGUGCGGGAUGAAGGCCUUCGGGUUGUAAACCGCUUUCAGCAGGAACGAAAUCAGACGGUACCUGCAGAAGAAGGUCCGGCCAACUACGUGCCAGCAGCCGCGGUAACACGUAGGGACCAAGCGUUGUCCGGAUUUAUUGGGCGUAAAGCGCUCGUAGGCGGUUCGGUAAGUCAGGUGUGAAAACCCCAGGCUCAACUUGGGGACGCCACCUGAUACUGCUGUGACUCGAGUUCGGUAGGGGAGUGUGGAAUUCCUGGUGUAGCGGUGAAAUGCGCAGAUAUCAGGAGGAACACCGGUGGCGAAGGCGACACUCUGGGCCGAUACUGACGCUGAGGAGCGAAAGCGUGGGGAGCGAACAGG
rnacentral:rRNA from 1 species